rnacentral:rRNA from 1 species
CGGCAACAGCUCAAAUUUGAAAUCUGGCGCCUUAGGCGUCCGAGUUGUAAUUUGCAGAGGGAGUCUCGGGUUAAGGGCCGGCCCAAGUGCCUUGGAACAGGAUACCGCAGAGGGUGAGAGUCCCGUAUCCGGCCGGCGCCCGCGCUCGUGUGAGACCCCUUCGAC